rnacentral:misc_RNA from 1 species
CCGCCGCGCCCGCUGGCCCCGCUGGCCGGCCUGCACGCGCUGGCGCUGGCGGCGCGCGCCGACGACCCGGAGCUGGGCAGGGUGGAGGCGUGGUCGAGCCGCUGGAGCACGCACGAGGCGUGGCAGGAGGCGUGCGGCGCGGACGAGCUGGACGAGCCCGAGCCGCCCGAGCACCUGCACUGGCCGGACUGCGCGCAGAUGGAGGAGAUGAGCAGCAGUCCGCCGCCCGCGCCGUCGCUCGUGACGUCCGCGGCCGCGUCCAUCGCGUCCAUGUGGCGCGUGUGGACCAAGUGACCGACCAGACCACCAUCGAUGAUGCCACCCGCGAGACUAGGUCGAAUGCUACCCGCGAGACCUGCUCGCAUGCCACUCGCGAGACUAGAUCGAAUGCCACUCGCGCGACUAGAUCGGAUGCCACCCACGAGACUAGUUUCGCAGCUAAAAUCGAAAACCACUACCAAAAGUAAUUUCCAUACUUUGUUUUUGUAUUUCGUGCUUGUAUUAUGUUCAACGUAUUAGCAGUGCUCUAUGUGACUGAGCUCGUCCGUACACUGCCACUGCACUCUGCUGGCAACACGUCAUGAACUGUAGCCCCAUGGAGAUACAUUGUUGUAUAAAGCUGUAUAUUUUUGUAUGAGCUAUACCAGACUGAACAAGAAUGCUUUAGACUAUUAUUUAUGGCGCGAAGUAGGUUCACUGUUUCUGUCUGUUAGCUGUGGUUGCCUUUGUUAUAAUAUUACCCUUUCUGUGGCACAAACGACUUGAACGCGAUCUUUUUCAAAAAGCCUCUCGCAAGAGAUUUAAGAGUAGUAUUUACUUUGAAAUCUCUUGCGCUCAUAAAUAUAUUUUUAAAUACUAAAACUUUUGUUAUACCUUCAGAGUAUACACAAUCCAUUUCAUUUUAAUAGUUACAUUGAUAACCAAAUGGUUAACGUUAAACUAAACAAGGCAUAAUAAUUAAAUUAUCAUCUAAAAUAAUCAUUUCGCCCUUAAUACUUUCAUCAGUGUAAAAUAAACCUAAAGGCGUUAGUUUAAAGUUCGAAUUCCUUUAAACACAUUAUAUACAUAUAGCUGCAAAAAUUGGAAUAUAAACAUAUGACAAUAUGGAACAUACAACUUUAAUGAAUGACUUUUAGGUUCAUUUUACUCUGACUGUAACAAACUAUUCAGUACUGUUAGUAUUCAGAUAAGUGCUAGAAUCUAGAUGGACAGACGUACAAAAGUAAUAAGGCCGUUCUGAUGCCUCUGAAUAUUAUUUAAUACUAGCGGACGCCCGCGACUUCGUCCGCGUGAAACUCGAUGUAAACUUUCAACUUCAGAACGGGCUUCUUAUAUUAUCGCUGCCAUAGAUAAUUUAAAUUGUUUGCUCAUAUUUUUUUAAUAGAAGUUACUUUUUUAUCUAAAAAUAUAGUGCCUAAUUUAUGGUAAAAAAAUGGAUGCAAGGUGCUAGAAAUGUUACUUGAAAGUAGUGAAAUUUUUUGUCGAGUUUGUACCCUCUCCAAUAGGUUUGUUUGUGUUAUAAUGAUUUUUUUUUAUAAUUUGUGAUAAAUUGAGUGU